rnacentral:rRNA from 1 species
UUUUAGAAAUUAAUUUAAAGUCUAACCUGCCCACUGAAUAAUUUUAAAUGGCCGCAGUAUCCUAACUGUGCAAAGGUAGCAUAAUCAUUAGUCUUUUAAUUGAAGGCUGGAAUGAAUGGUUGGAUGAAAUAUUAACUGUUUCAUAUAAAUUUAUAAUAGAAUUUUAUUUUUUAGUCAAAAAGCUAAAAUUUUAUUAAAAGACGAGAAGACCCUAUAAAUCUUUAUACUUUUUUAAUUUUAAUUAUUUAGAUAAAUUAAAUUAUAAUUAUCAAAAGUAUUUUAUUGGGGUGAUAUUAAAAUUUAAUAAACUUUUAAUUUAUAAUAUACAUAAAUUAAUGAAUUAUUGAUCCAUUUAUUAUGAUUAAAAAAUUAAGUUACUUUAGGGAUAACAGCGUAAUUUUUUUAGAGAGUUCAUAUUGAUAAAAA